rnacentral:lncRNA from 1 species
CAAAACAAAUUGGAUGAUGUUCUUUCGUAGCCGCUGUACGCAGUAGCUAGCUUCAACAGCAGGACCACGGUUAUGCUGGAACUAGAAAAACUAUUGUACAAAAUACCAAAAAGUUUGGCUGUAGCUCAGUCAUUAAAUGCUGGAAGAUUGUGCAGUUUCCAGAUUAUAAGUGAACAACCAGACCAUGUAAGGCUUCAUGGCUUCAUCAAAUAUCCCAUAGAAUAGGCACACCAGACAGCAGAAAAAGAUGUAUGGAAAUGGAGUUGGGGAGUUUGAAGAAUCUGCUUUUGAGUGGUGUCAGCAAAAACUGGGAUUCAUGGUUUUGUAUAAUUUACACCAAAGACUAACAAUUGAAUACCUUUACGGUGUUCUUUUUAAAGAAGCAAUGGUGCAAGAAACUUACCAUAUGAGGAAGCAGAUGAGCAAUGAUGUUUGACUGAGUUUGACAGGAAUAAGAAACCACAAAAAUGAACUUAUAGUUAAAACCCUAGAUUUUUUUGACCAAGGAAUGUCUUAAGCAGAGUACGGGCUGUUGUUACCCUGUAAAAAAAAUGGAUGUUUAUGUCUUGUGAGUCUUUGUUACGACUGAUGACACAUUCAAUUACAUGAUUGUGUUUACCAGCUUUGACAUUGGAAUUUGUUGCAAAUUACCUAUUUCAGUGUAACUAAGCAAGAAAUAGGUAAUUAGGUAAAUGUGGAAUAUAUCUUAACACAUAUUAAAUUUUCUGACUUCUUAAUGAGACCAUCUUCACUAUCCUUUAAUUAUUUAGUAAGCAUUUGUGUAACAGUAUAAAAUUUAGUAGAUAUAUGUUUGUAUUAAGUUGUGGAAAAUUUUAUAAGAAAUGUGAAUCUGCACAUUUGAAAAAUUCUUAUUAAAAUGUAAUAGAGGUAAUACUGCCAGUUUAAUGAAUCCAAAUUUAAAUGAGGUUUUGUAAUAUCAUGUACUCUUAAAUGUUCCAAAAUACUGUUCGAGCUUUAAGUUUGAUAAUUUUAUAUGCUACUUUGAUAUUGAAAUAUGCUACAUAAACACAGAAGAUUGACUGUAUUUCAGUAUGUGUAAUUUUAUUACAAUAAAUUAAACAUUCUCCUGUUUUAUUAUAUUGUUUUUGUAUGCACACCAAGAAGUUCCCUGGUAAAAUAAUUUGAAGAUGUGAAAACAGCAUAGUAAAUAUUUGGAUACAGUAUCAUACUUCUUUUGCUUUUCUGUACAAAUAGUCUAUGUAACGAUUAGACAUGUACGGUACAUUAAAAUCGAAGUAUGUCUGUAAGAUAAAUGUUCGUCCACCAACAUCAGUAACAUAAUUCUUAGCUACCUCCAAAUUCAUGCAUGUAUAUAUAACAAACAUCAAAUGUUAGGAUUUCAGUGUAGGACAGGACAAAUAUGAAGACACCCUUCUGUUAGGAUUAAUAUGAAAAACAGGUAAAUUACCUACCUAUUGCCCAAAACCACGAAAUUUCAUGCCCAUGAAAUUAAAUAAUUUUACAGUAUCAUGGUAGCUAUUCCUCUAUUAAGACUGAGUAAUGGGUGGUAUACCAGUAUAUUACAGUGUACUGAGUCAGCUACUGAUAUACAAGUGACUUAUCUGGUUGCUCCCAUAAUAUAAAGACUGUGUACUUACCUGCAUACAGCCAUAUUACAGACAGGGUACUUGCCCAGCUACGGCCAAAUUAUAGACUGGGUAUUUACCUGGUUGCUGCCAGAAAAGAUACUCAGCCGGCUAUGUCCCAGCUACUGCAAUACUACAGGAAGGGUACGUAGCCAGCUACAGCCAUAGUGCAGAAAGGGUACUUACCUGGCUACUGCCAUACUAUAGACAGGGUACUUACCUGGCUACUGUCAUACUAUAGACAGGGUACUUACCCGGCUACUGUCAUACUAUAGACAGGGCACUUACC